CAGCACCUAGCCUCUGGUGCAGUAGAGAAACUAAAUGAGCGUGGGGAAAAUGCCCUAAAAUACGCGUGGACGUUUCCAAGCGGCCACGACGCUGAGAAAGUUCGUUUGUGAAAGCAACAGGGCUUUGAAACUCGGCCACACCUCCUGACAAGAGAAACCAGAGGAAGAGCCCAUUUUUAUCGAGUGACCCUCUGUCCAGAGCAACAGGUGCAGGACUUUCCUGGUGGCUCAGACGGUAAAGCGUCUCGCUUACAAGGCGGGAGACCUGGGUU